AAUGACACCCACUGGAGGACUGGAUCACGAAGCAACUCAGGCCAGAGGAAAGUGAUGGCAGGACGGGUUUCACAGGCAUGAAGCUUCCUUGGCAUUUAUGAUCCCUGGAUGAUUAAUGGACUUGGAGAGUUCACAUUGUCUCGGUGUUUGUGUCAGGCUACUGUGAGUCUUAUGACGCAGCUGAGGCUGUCUUUGUUGCAAGGAAUGUCUGUGAUCAAACUUUAAAUUGUUGUAAAUAUCUUUUGUUACCAACUGGCUUAUCAGUAAUUGUUCAGUUAAAUAUUGUACCCUCCAUUUGAAAGGACAUCAUUUUAUAUAAUUUCUGCCAACAAUUUUCUUCCUAUAUUUCCAUUUUUGUGCAGAGACUUGUGGUAAUCUGAGGUGUAAUACACCUUUAAGAGAAUGUGAGCAGAUUGACUGCGUGACUGUAAGACCCAAUAGCUGUGCGGCGUGGGUUACCAUGUUGAUGUUAGUCCAGAGUGGGGUCUGGUUGGGGAAGCACAUACCAUGUUAGUGCUCUGUUGUUUGUGUAAAUAAAUAGUAUGUGCAUCGUU